rnacentral:rRNA from 1 species
AACGAACGCUGGCGGCAGGCUUAACACAUGCAAGUCGAGCGCCUCGCAAGGGGAGCGGCAGACGGGUGAGUAACGCGUGGGAACAUGCCCAAAGGUACGGAACAACUCCGGGAAACUGGAGCUAAUACCGUAUGUGACCGAGAGGUGGAAGAUUAUCGCCUUUGGAUUGGCCCGCGUUGGAUUAGCUAGUUGGUGGGGUAAAGGCCUACCAAGGCGACGAUCCAUAGCUGGUCUGAGAGGAUGAUCAGCCACACUGGGACUGAGACACGGCCCAGACUCCUACGGGAGGCAGCAGUGCGGAAUAUUGGACAAUGGGCGCAAGCCUGAUCCAGCCAUGCCGCGUGAGUGAUGAAGGCCUUAGGGUUGUAAAGCUCUUUCGCCAGGGACGAUAAUGACGGUACCUGGAUAAGAAGCCCCGGCUAACUUCGUGCCAGCCGCCGCGGUAACAC